rnacentral:lncRNA from 1 species
AUGCUCUUAACAAUAGUGUUUCCAGUCAGAAUUUACCUCAGAGCAAGACGUGGGGGUUGUGAGCAGCUCAAGGCGGACAAAUGGCCGGAAUCAUCAGUGCAGUGGGCGUGGCCAUUCUUGGUGCCGCCUCCAGCUACUUCGCCUACCAGAAAAAGAAACUCUGCUUCAAAAUUCAAGGAGGUGAGUGCUGCUUUUACGUACAGUGAGUGAAUAAAUGGGAGUCAUUUAAAUUGUCAUUAAUU